CUUUCCUACUUUAAGAAAGUGACUUCAAAAAAAUACUGAUUGAGAUAGAUGAUUUCAUUUUACUUUUUUAUACUUCUUUUGUUUCCUUUUCCCAUUUAACCAAAAAGAAAUCCCAUCCCUCAACACCACCCCUGCCCUGUCCCUGCACCUUUCUCCUUUUAUGCAAAACUCAAAAUGGCAAUACCUUAUUAUAGCCAUAAUGGUAUAGAUAGUGUUUGCGUUUGGCUGUGUGUUGUUUUCUUUUUUUUUUUUUUUUAAAUUAUGAAUAUGUGUAAAAUCUGAGGUAACUUGCUAACGUGAAUGGUCAUAUAACUUUAAAGAUAUAUUUAUAAUUAUUUAAUGACAUUUGGACCCUUGAAACAUUUCUUAGUGUACUGAUACGUUGACUUCGGUCUCUAAAAGUGCUCUUUAUUAAAUAACAAAUUUCUUCAGUGGGCUAGAGCCAUAUCUGAAAUAUUGCUAAGCAAUUUCAGUUCAUCCAGGCACAAUGUGAUUUUCACAAAUACGUCCAUCUCCAAAUAUCUUAGAUGUAGCUUGUUUUUUGUGAUGUAUGAAGGAAAUGUUAUGCUUCGUUCUUUCAGACCUUGGAUUGCCUCUGACACAGCUUUGCCUUCUAAAGCAAUAAUUAGGGAUUUAAAAACCAACUCUUAGCCCUGUAUCACUCAUGUUGCCCUUUAUUAGCAUGAAAUGCUGGAGUGAUGUGGUUUCCCAGUUUCUUUUGAAUAAUGGUGACUCUUGUCAUAUUAAAAAGACAAGCACAAGUGAAUCAUUGAACUGCAGAAAAAUGUUCUGUGGUUUCCUAGUUAAAGCAAAACUCUAAAUCGCCAGGCUUCAUAGUGAAGACACAGCUUAAAGCCACCCAUGUGGCUUAAGGACUGAUCAUGAUACACAUAGGACAGUAAAGCCAAGUUGCACCGGGGAUUCUUAACUAACCUGCCUUACCAAACAGUAAGUCAGGAGAACCCAGAUCUGCCUCACCUGAGGCCCCACUGGCAGCUCUCUGCGGAAUCUGCAUUUAAAGGAGCAGAUUUAGCCAUUGUCUCAUGGGAGCCCUGUCAUCUGAAGGAGCUGGAGACUUCCAGCAGACAGCUGAGCUGAGUUAAUGUAGGGCCUUGGGGACCCAUAUCAAACCCCUUGGGGUCAAAGGAAGGCAAGGCCAUGUGGAGUUUGGUGUCUACUACUGUGUAUGAAUUUGAGCAGAAGCCCUCCUGUAGGAUGCACUUUGGCCACUCCUGGCGACCACCUGGCAAAUUCUCAGCGUGACCUUAAUCCAAGCCAGGAUCACUCCAUGACACCACUGGGCAAAUCCCUGCUGGCUCCCUCACCGGUCCGGGGGACCCCUUUGUUUCAGUUCUGUGCCCCCACUGAGCAGAACCUUGUAGAGAUUUGUCCCCAGCCUCUGAGGACCCUUUCUCUGUAGUCAUUCCCAGGCCCGCUUCAUGGGCCGUCAAGCCUGGUGGGAUGGUGUGUGUUGUGGGGGCAUCUGGCCCUGUGCUUCUGCCUGGGGGCCUCCCUUACGACCACCCUGACUCCUCCCAACAAAAGUCGGGGGCAAAACAAAACAAAACAAAACAAAACAAAACACUGCCUUCUAAAGGUUGUAUACCAAGUAUGCUUAGAUAAAUAAGCCACUUUUCUAUUACUUAACUAAGAUGGAAGUAGUAACUGAUACUAUUUAUUGUUUGUGUGUGGUAGCUUGAAGCACGCCACUGUCCAUUUAUUUGUUAAGUGUAAAAUAUGUGUGUUUGUUUCAGCAGCACUUAAAAAAGCCAGUGUCUGGUUACACAUUUCAAUUUUAAUUAAUUGACAUAAAAAUGUUACCGCCAGUGCCAGCUGUACCCUAUUUAAUAAAAAAGGUACUAUAUUUGUACAUUAUUUUUUAAUGUUAAAAGGGCUUUUUUAAGUUUACAGUACACAUACUAAGUGACUUUAGGGAUGCUUUUGUGUUGAAAUGUUAUUAUAGUGGCUGCAGGCAGCAACCCAGAAACACUUUAAAAAGUUUUUUUUUUCCUUGGGAAAAAUUCAAGCACUUCUUCCUUCCACCCUCACUCCAACCACUCCAAAGGGGUUCAAAGAGCACGGUUCUCUUUGUAGCACAGACGUUGCUGGAGUUUUCGGCGUGACCAGCUCAGCCGCUUUCUGUCUGUUUUAGUUGUCUCACAAAGUGUGACCAGUGUCAGGGUUCCAGAACAUACCACAGUGUUGGUUUUAGAUGAGUGAAAUGACUUCCAGCCUGGAACUGAGAGACUCGACCAAUGAACUAUGGUUUGCUCUUCAGACAGUCUCACCAACCCCCACCCUGCCCCCAGGGCCUUUUAAAAAUGAGCAGAGAAAUCCACACCAUUAGGGACCAACCAUUGCAAACCCAGAGGGGAGGAGAUGUGUGUGCUCCUUAAGAGUUCCCUUCAUUCCCAGGAAAGGGACUGACUCAGAGUCUAGGUUAAUACAUGGAAACACAAAGCAUGAGUGAAGACAAUAACGACUUUUAUGACAUUCGAAAGAACAAUCAUAAAUAAAGAGGACUCUGGCAAACCUUGAAUUUGUUGUUCUUCAAAAGAGAAUGCAUUUAAAAAAUAUUUUCUGUGUGAGAAUUUUUUAGAUGUUUGUUUACUUCAUGUUUACAAAUAACUGUUUGCUUUUUAAUGCAGUACUUUGAAAUAUAUCAGCCAAAACCAUAAGUUACAGUAAUUUCUUAGGUAUUCUGAAUAAAAUUCCAUUUUUUUUUUGGAUAUGCUUUACCAUUCUUAGAUUUCUGUGGAACAAAAAAAUGUUUGUAGCAUUUUGUGUAAAUACAAGCUUUUCAUUUUUAUUUUUCCAAUUGCUGUUGCCCAAGAUCUGCUUUCCCUGCACAUAUUGUACAAAUUCUGCUUUGUGCCACAGGCCAUGAUUGUGGAUGAGUUUACUUUCAACUUCAAAGGGACUAUUUGUAUUGUAUGUUGCAACUGUAAAUGGAAUUAUUUGGCAUUUUUCUCAUGAUUGUAAUAUUAAUUUGAAGUUUGAUUUAAUUUUCAAUAAAAUGGCUUUUUUGGUUUUGUUA